GAUUUCUGGCUGGCCGCGCUGGCCCGCCUCCUUUCGGGGGUGAGUGCCGGCGCGUGCCUUCCAUCCUUCCAGAUUGUCGCGUGUACCGUUUACUCGGCCGCGCGCGUACGGUCUGGAUCAUUUACUGUGAAAAAAUUAGAGUGUUUAAAGCAGGCUUAUGCCUUGAAUACAUUAGCAUGGAAUAAUAAAAUAGGACUUUGGUUCUAUUUUGUUGGUUUCUAGAACUGAAGUAAUGAUUGAUAGGGACAGUUGGGGGUGCUAGUAUUCAGCGGCCAGAGGUGAAAUUCUUGGAUUCGCUGAAGACUAACUACUGCGAAAGCAUU
rnacentral:rRNA from 1 species